UAUGUUUUAAUAUAGGAUGUAUACUAGUUUUUGAUACUAGAAGGAAUAGUUUAAAUCUAUUAAGCGUAA
rnacentral:tRNA from 1 species